rnacentral:rRNA from 1 species
UACGAGAGGCCCAACCGUUAUUCGGAAUUACUGGGCUUAAAGAGUUCGUAGGCGGCAUGAAAAGUAGGGUGUGAAAGCCCUCGGCUCAACCGAGGAAUUGCGCUCUAAACUGUCGUGCUAGAGGAACCUAGAGGUGAGCAGAACUGAUGGUGGAGCGGUGAAAUGCGUUGAUAUCAUCUGGAAUACCGGAGGCGAAGGCGGCUCACUGGGGGUUUUCUGACGCUGAGGAACGAAAGCCAGGGGAGCGAACGGG